ensembl:ribozyme RNaseP_nuc Nuclear RNase P
GAAGGUCUAAGGCUGGGGCCUCCUGCAGCCCUAACAGGCUUUCCCUGAAUUAGGAGGUGAAUUCCCAGAGAGCAGGGCUCCAUGCCUGGACAGAUAGGACAGGAAAGGCCCCAAGUGGCAGAUGUAUCCCUCACCAGAGCUUGCAACAGACACGUGGUCACUCACUUUGUUCAGUAAAUGGCUAUCUGUUGUGGUAAAAAUAAAAAACAGCAGAACCAGUUCCAG